rnacentral:rRNA from 1 species
UGGGGAAUCUUGCACAAUGGGGGAAACCCUGAUGCAGCGACGCCGCGUGAGCGAUGAAGCCCUUCGGGGUGUAAAGCUCUUUCGGCAGGGACGAUAAUGACGGUACCUGAAGAAGAAGCUGCGGCUAACUACGUGCCAGCAGCCGCGGUAAUACGUAGGCAGCGAGCGUUGUUCGGAGUUACUGGGCGUAAAGCGUGCGUAGGCGGUGGCCCAAGUCUGGUGUGAAAUCUCCCGGCUCAACCGGGAGGGUGCGCCGGAAACUGGGUCGCUCGAGUACUGGAGAGGCAAGCGGAAUUCCUGGUGUAGCGGUGAAAUGCGUAGAUAUCAGGAGGAACACCCGUGGUGUAGACGGCUUGCUGGACAGUCACUGACGCUGAGGCACGAAAGCGUGGGGAGCAAACAGGAUUAGAUACCCUGGUAGUCCACGCCCUAAACGAUGCAUACUUGGUGUGGGCAGUUCAGUCUGUCCGUGCCGAAGCUAACGCGAUAAGUAUGCCGCCUGGGGAGUACGGUCGCAAGGCUGA